GCAUUGAUAGUUUAGGGGUAGAAUUCGAGCUUCCCAUCUCCUGGAGAGUGCUCGAGGUCCGAGUUCGAGUCUCGGUCAAUGCA